ACAGAUUUGAGCCACCGUGUCCAGGGGAGGCUACUGAGGCUCAGAGGUGAAGGUGUCUUCCCGAGCUUACCCAGCUCAUGUGAGUGGGUGCAGAGUGAUAGCCAAGUCUGUCUUCAGAGCUGCAGCCUUGACCGCUACCCACUUCCCUGAGGAACUUUUCUGCAACUCCCGUCUUUACUCCUCACCGUCUGAAGGACUGAAGCUAAACUCCCUAACCUGCUAUUCAAGGCUCUCUCCAGCCCACACUGGGUCCCUCUGCCUUGAAUGCCUCACUGAGACCUACUCCUCCAUAAUCAUCAAAGUCCAGUCUGAGGCCUCCUUGACACCUUCCCCAUUCCCCAACACACAAGCCUUUUCAGCUGCUCCAUCUGGAGCACCCUGUACCCCUGCAUCUCUCUGGACCUUUGCCCAUAUUGCUCCUUCCCUUCCAUGCAGCAGAAUCCACCUCUCAUCCUUUUAGGCCUAGCCAAACUCCACCUUUUCCAGGACAUCAUCUGGAUAGCUUGGGACACACUGAUGCUCUUCUCUGUGUGUGUAGCACACUGUGAAUGUAGCUCCUGGCACCACUGAAAUAGGGAUACUCCCAGUUUUCUGGAAAGAAUCUCAUAUUUGAUAUUUAAAAUUAAACAUCGUAG
rnacentral:lncRNA from 10 species